CGGGCUCGCCGCGUGAGUCCGAGCCGGCCGCUCAGAGCGCUCCGGGCUGGGUUCCCGGGCCCCGCCGCGCCGCCUCUCUCCCCGCCCGCCCGCCCGGGCCUGGCCUCCUGCUUUUCCAUUUGAUUCCCUGCCUCUCUCUGUUCGGACUGGAAUGCCGGGCCAGGCUCCGGGGCGCGCCGCUGCGGCAGCCGCACCUCGCAGGUCCCCCCGGCAGACCCCGACGCGGAAGCGGUGGCCCUCCUCGCCGUCGGGGAGCCAGGGAGCCGGGGACGAUCAGUCACAUAAGGCUUAGAGGAUCAAGUAUCCUGCCCAGAUGCCUUACCGAAAUGUUACAGAUUAAGUUGGUGUGGUAACCUGGGCUGAGCACUCUGGGAGAGGAAGAGAAGAGAGAAGACAGGAAACAACUGAGCUAUGACCAAUCCCAGCACGGAGGCCCAGAAAACUUGAAGAUUUGAGUAUUAAUGUCUCAAGGUCAGGAGCAACCUCAAGGCUAAAACUCAGAUCUCAGGACUCAAUUUCACAGAAGUUCCACUAUAAAGGCAUUAAUCUAAAGCUUUAAAUGAUAUGAAAAUUUUGUAAUAAGAGUUCAGUAUUUCUGCCAACAUUGGCACAUGGAUUGCAAAGUUCACAAGAUUGAAAACACCAUCGACAUAAUGGAAAUUGAACAGCAUCUGAUUACUGAGUGCUAUAUCAGCAAGUUAAAAGGAUCUUUUGCAUACCUUUUAAUGGUAUAUAUCCUAAAACUGAAGUGUUCAAUAUAGACAUCCAGAUUGAAACUCAGGCAGUGAAUUACAUACACAACAAAUCAAUUGAACAUGGCAGAGCUUGUCAGACUCAUGAAAGAUUAAAUACAUUUUACAUUUCCACAAGUGUGGUAUUCACAGGUCUAAAUUGGAAAAUUCUUGGGUUGAAGAAGAAUAAUCAUAAUCUUAGCUUCACUCAUUGAGGAAACAUUAUUCAGGGAUGAUAAGAGGUAAAACCUUAAAAAUAUUGACAAGCUAAUGAGAGAACUUUGAAGUAAGCUGAUAUGCAGGUAUAGUUAGGACUGG
rnacentral:lncRNA from 1 species